rnacentral:rRNA from 1 species
AGUCGAACGGUGGUAGUAAUACCAUAGUGGCGCACGGGUGCGUAACACGUAACUAACCUACCUAUAACUGGGGGAUAGCCCGCCGAAAGGCGGAUUAAUACCGCAUAAGCUCUUUAGCUGGCAUCAGCUGAUUAGUAAAGAUUUAUUGGUUAUAGAUGGGGUUGCGGGUCAUUAGCUAGUUGGUUGGGUAACGGCUGACCAAGGCGACGAUGACUAGGGGAGCUGAGAGGCUGGUCCCCCACACGGGCACUGAGAUACGGGCCCGACUCCUACGGGAGGCAGCAGUAGGGAAUAUUGGGCAAUGGGCGAGAGCCUGACCCAGCCAUGCCGCGUGCAGGAAGAAGGCUUUCUGAGUCGUAAACUGCUUUUGACAGGGAAGAAUAAGCAUUACGUGUAAUGUGAUGACGGUACCUGCAGAAUAAGCACCGGCUAACUCCGUGCCAGCAGCCGCGGUAAUACGGAGGGUGCGAGCGUUGUCCGGAUUUAUUGGGUUUAAAGGGUGCGUAGGCGGCCCGUUAAGUCCGGGGUGAAAGCCCGUUGCUCAACAACGGAACUGCCCUGGAUACUGACGGGCUUGAGUACAGACGAGGUUGGCGGAAUGGACCGAGUAGCGGUGAAAUGCAUAGAUACGGUCCGGAACCCCGAUUGCGAAGGCAGCUGACUAGGCUGUUACUGACGCUGAGGCACGACAGCGUGGGGAGCGAACAGGAUUAGAUACCCUGGUAGUCCACGCCGUAAACGAUGGAUACUCGCUGCGAGCUAAAGAUUGUUCGUGGCUUAGGGAAACCGAUAAGUAUCCCACCUGGGGAGUACGCCGGCAACGGUGAAACUCAAAGGAAUUGAC